AUGGCCACGAUGGGUGGGGACAGAAGGCAGAUGAUGGAUGACGCGGCGGAGGACAAGUUUCCCGAGGGGUUACGCAUCCUCGUCGUUGACGACGACCGCGUCUGCCUCAAGGUACUUGAAGCCCUCUUGCGCCGCUGCAAGUACCAACCAACGACGGUGAUGGAUGGAAAGACGGCGCUGAGGAUGCUCAUGGCGGGGAAGCAGCAGUUCGACCUGGUCAUCACCGACGUGCGCAUGCCGGACAUGGACGGCUUCAAGCUCCUCGAGCUCAUCCGCCUCGAGAUGGAUCUGCCCGUCAUCAUGAUAUCCAUUGAUUGCGACAAGAAGGUUGUGAUGAAGGGGAUAGAUCAUGGCGCGUCCGACUUUAUGGUGAAGCCGGUCUGUACCCAUGAGCUCAAAAACAUAUGGCAACAUGUUCAAAGGCGGAGAAAUCCCAAAGCAAUAAGCCACAUCAGCGAUCAUGACAAUGAUGUCCAGAGAGUUCAACCAGCGACUACUAACAAGAGUAAGUACUCAGGGAAUAAGAGAAAUGGCGGAGAUGAUUCUAGCAAGAACAAUGAGGGCACACAUAUAUCCGCCAUCCACAGAAAGCCCAGGAUGACAUGGACAAUUGCGCUGCAUAACAAGUUUCUAGAAGCUAUCAACCGGAUCGGCCUUGAUAGGGCUGUUCCAAAAAAGGUAUUGGAGCUGAUGAAUGUGGAUUACCUCAGUAGAGAGAACAUUGCGAGUCAUCUACAGAAGUAUAGAUUGCACUUAAAAAAAGUCAAGUCAAAUCCCUCUGGUGAUGCAUAUGAAAGAUGGAACUCAUCUUACAACAUGAACAACAAGGGCAAUUUCAUGCAUAAUCAUGAACAUGGAAGAUGGAGUGUGUCCUCUGGUGGCACUGCCUCUUGGAGUACAAACAAGUAUGGUUCAACGGAUCACUUGGCUCCGCCGAUGAACAUCCAAAGCAACUUCUACAUGGGGUCAUACCUCCAUGAUGGUAGAAUGCCGAAGUAUGUUGGGGAACUACCGUCGGAUGCGAGAAGAUUCACAGGUUUUGCUGACCCUCCCGUCAGCCAAUAUGAUAACAUACCCAAUGAGAUAAUGUCAGAUGAAUUUCCUUCAUUCAAUUAUAGUAAUUCCCGUCGUGACAUCAUGCGUGGCAAGCUAAUGGAGAUAAGCAAAGGCAAAACCCCUUCCAAUCUUCAAAGUUCAUUUGCAAACACAACAAUUGGUGGCGGGAGGUCCCUUGUCGCAUCACAGGUGAACUUCCCACAUAGCAACCAACUAGAGAGCUAUGCAACGUCAUCUGGCCGGCUGCCUCUGCAAAAUGAAAAGGCACCAUUCAUAAGCAACACCACAUCAAUGGGAUGCUUCACUGAGCGGCUGGCACCAUUCAACAUGGCAAGCAACAUAAGCUCAGUAGGAACGAUGUGGAACGGUAGCUCUGCACUUGAUGCAAGUAGAACUUCAACUAAUGAUACUCAUCUGGUCAAUAGUGAAAGAACUACUUUGAUGCUUCACAACCUUCAGACAGAUGAUUUCAUCUCAUUGACCCGGCUACAUGAUGGUGGGGAUAGAGCUAGCAUUUUUCCUAUGCAAGAAGGCACACUUAAUCAGCAACCUCUUAUUGAUCAUUUGAAUGAAAUCAAUGCCUUCUCAAUGGAUGAUAUGUUUUCCAACAUGCACGUGGAAGAUUUCACUGGAGAUGUUGCUAUCAUGGAAGAAGCAUGA
rnacentral:rRNA from 1 species